UACGGAGGGUGCAAGCGUUAUCCGGAUUCACUGGGUCUAAAGGGUGCGUAGGUGGGCAAGUAAGUCAGUGGUGAAAUCUCCGGGCUUAACCCGGAAACUGCCAUUGAUACUAUUUGUCUUGAAUACUGUGGAGGUCAGCGGAAUAUGUCAUGUAGCGGUGAAAUGCUUAGAUAUGACAUAGAACACCAAUUGCGAAGGCAGCUGGCUACACAAAUAUUGACACUGAGGCACGAAAGCGUGGGGAUCAAACAGG
rnacentral:rRNA from 1 species